UUAAGACGUCAUAUCAAAGGUCAAGCUUAUUUCCCCAAUUUUCAUACCCUGCUCCCAAAUUUGCCCUUCUUCAAAGAGGAUUUAAUGGUUUAUUCGGUUUAUUUGAUCAUAGAGUGUGUAACCGAUGGCCUGAUUGAAUGUUCAUUCAAUUUAUAGCAUUGAAUAUAAUUGAAGAUGUGGAUUGAAAAUUGAAUCCAAUUUAACCCUUACAAGAAACUGAAGAGGUUAAGACGCCCCUUAUAUUUACUCAUCACCGUUUACAUCAUCAGAAGCAGCAACAGUUACAAUCACCAAAUCCACAAGCAUUUCUCUGUGUCUCCCCAAAUUCCCAAUUUCUCAUACUUGAAGAUAAAAUCUGGCAUGUAAGUUUUAUCAUUGUAACAAUUUAUUACGACUGGGUUUGUUGAAACUCGUAAAAUUAGGGCUUGAAAUUGAAAUUAGGUUGUUUUUCUUGUGUUGAAAUUUGGUGAUUGGCUGGUUCCAAUGGCUGAAGUGGCGUCUUCGUCAACCACCACCGGUACGCCGACCGAUUGGAUAAGGAGAUCAAGACAAUUGGUCAUCCAAAACAGCCGAAACUGGUUAAUGGCAUGGGAGGUUGCAGCGAAAGCAUAUCAAGAGCUUUUAAUGGAUAUGUGUUGGCAGAAACUUGCCCCUAACUUGCCUUAUGUGAAGUCAUUGUUUUAGGUUGGUUUGAGUCGUUGAGGCUUCGCCGGAGACUCACGGAAACGAAGGCGUCUCCGUCAAUUGUUGAAGAAGUUGAAGCUAAGCUUCGUGUGAUGCAGUUUGUCGACAGUUUCAUGUGAAUAUCAUUUAUCUGCUGGUCUUGGAACUAAUAAAGUUGUUGCGGAGCGCUGGGCGCUGGACGUGUAGCUGGCUGAAGUAUUUGGGUUGUGAUCAGAUCUUGUUGUGGGCUGUAACAUAUAGGGUUGGUCUUCUGGUGGGCUACUUCUUCAUCAGCUACUUGCUGAGCACCUACAACAAUUACCAAUGGCCAUGUAAAGUUGGAAAGUGGAACUACUCGGGGCAGUCUUCAAGAAUAUGUUUUGAACUCAAGCACAGCAACCCGUUCAGUGUCCAAAGAAAGAGCCAAGAUGAUGUAGAAUAAAAGGUCAAAGCUCAAUUGAGCCUGGUCUCUCAAGUUGAGAGUCAAAAUUGUUGGCCGGAGUGGCUUUGAAAAACUUGAUGUCCAAAUGCUGGUAUGUCAUUCGUCUUAAAAAUAUAGUAAUUAGUUGCUGCUGAGCGCCCAAAUUUUUACCCGAUCACCCAAUGUUCCUGUAGUAUUACUUGCCCUUUUGUAUUGUACUCAUAGACGUAGAAAUUUCAAUUUUAUUUAUGAUUGGGUUGA